rnacentral:rRNA from 1 species
AUUGAACGCUGGCGGCAUGCCUUACACAUGCAAGUCGAACGGUAACGCGGGGCAACCUGGCGACGAGUGGCGAACGGGUGAGUAACGCAUCGGAACGUGCCCAGUAGUGGGGGAUAGCCCGGCGAAAGCCGGAUUAAUACCGCAUACGACCUACGGGUGAAAGGGGGGGAUCGCAAGACCUCUCGCUAUUGGAGCGGCCGAUGUCAGAUUAGGUAGUUGGUGGGGUAAAGGCCUACCAAGCCUACGAUCUGUAGCUGGUCUGAGAGGACGACCAGCCACACUGGGAAUGGGACACGGCCCAGACUCCUACGGGAGGCAGCAGUGGGGAAUUUUGGACAAUGGGCGCAAGCCUGAUUCAGCCAUGCCGCGUGCGGGAAGAAGGCCUUCGGGUUGUAAACCGCUUUUGUCAGGGAAGAAACGCUCUGGACUAAUACUCUGGGGUAAUGACGGUACCUGAAGAAUAAGCACCGGCUAACUACGUGCCAGCCGCCGCAGUAA